GUUAUCCUAGCUUAACACAAAGCAUGGCACUGAAGACGCCAAGAUGGACACUAAAAUGCCCGAAUGACA
rnacentral:tRNA from 1 species